AGCAACACCUCGGGGGGCCUCCUGGCUGAGAUAUGCGACUUGCAUGACCCGUUGAACCUGAACCGGUUAGGACCGGCGGAGGGAAGGUCUGGAAACACUAU
rnacentral:ncRNA from 2 species